CCAGGUUCGAGCGAUUCUCCCGCCUCAGCCUCACUAAUAGCUGGGAUUACAAGCAUGCGCAACCACGCCCAGCUGAUAUUGUAUUUUUAGUAGAGAUGGGGUCUCACCAUGUUGGUCAGGCUGGUCUCAAACUCCCAACUUCAGGUGGUCUGCCUUCCUCGAUCUUCCAAAGUGAUGGGAUUACAGGCGUGAGCCACUGCGCCCGGCCAAUCAGUGAUGAAGGGGUGGCCUGCCCCUCCACACCUGUGGGUGUUUCUUGUCAGGUGGGACGAGAGACUGAGAAAAUAAAUAAGAGACGGAGACAAAGUAUAGAGAAAGAACAGUGGGCCCAGUGGACCGGCGCUCAGCAUAUGGAGCACCCGCCAGCACUGGUCUCUGAGUUCCCUCAGUAUUGAUCAUUAUCU
rnacentral:lncRNA from 10 species